rnacentral:lncRNA from 1 species
GCUGAGAGCUUGGGGAUCUAUCACUAGCUAAGCUGGGGGGGUCCUAUCACCUGAACUCACGAAUGAUAUCCCUGCUGGCUCUCUGCAGACGUGACUGAGUGGUUCAGGGCCCGUGUCACCAACCCGGAUCGUCCACCACCAACGUCCCCGGAUGCAGUGCAGCCCGCUCCUGCCCCUUCAGCAUUAACCCCCUAAGGACCUCAAAUCCCCGCUGUGCCUUAGGCAGCAUCAUUGAAAAACCCAGGCGGCCACAUGCUGCGCCGCCACUGCGCGGGAUGUGCGAGGAUGGCUUCACGAGGUCAACGCUAAGGGAGCCCACGCUACCCGCGGAAACCGUGAUGCGUACCAAGAGAGCCUGUUCCCAUGAAGCCCUGAAGCUGUAAGGAAUGCUGUUGUAAAAAAAUUAAUAAUACGAUGAGGGGUUGCCACAUCUGCAAACUUCCGGGAAGAGUCAUGGGGA